UACGUAGGGUGCAAGCGUUAAUCGGAAUUACUGGGCGUAAAGCGUGCGCAGGCGGUUCGCUAAGACAGAUGUGAAAUCCCCGGGCUUAACCUGGGAACUGCAUUUGUGACUGGCGGGCUAGAGUAUGGCAGAGGGGGGUAGAAUUCCACGUGUAGCAGUGAAAUGCGUAGAGAUGUGGAGGAAUACCGAUGGCGAAGGCAGCCCCCUGGGACAUAAC
rnacentral:rRNA from 1 species